rnacentral:misc_RNA from 1 species
CAUAAAUUCCUCCGAGGAAAAUCAAGGAGUUUCCACUUCUCCCAAUGGUAGUAGCAUCCAAAAUUCAGGUUUCUUGAGCUCUACCACAACUAGCUUAAGUGAUGACCGAAACUCGUCCGAUUCGAUUGACAAAAAGGGUCGGCUCAGCACUCAUUUUUCCAACUCCAUCAACGUUUCGAUCACCACAGAGGCUAAUCAGGGCUCGAGCACUUGCCCUGACACUCCUACCUCAAAGAAAGGAGGUGAAGUAAGAGACGAAAAGGGCUCAAACUUUUCAAGCAAAGAUGAGGAAGGAAACGACAAGGAAGGGAGGGUAAGUUCUGUUAAAUUUGGUCAAGUAUUUUCAUCUCCAUUAGGGAAUAAGAAUCUUGAAGCAGAGCAAUCUGCAAUGCAGCAACAAAUAGUAGACAUGUACAUGAGGAGUAUGCAGCAGUUCACUGAAUCUUUAUCCAAAAUGAAGCUUCCUAUGAAUCUUGACAAGCCUGAAGGUGAAGAUCGCGGGGAUUUGAUUCAAAGCCAUAGCAAUAAACUAGAGCUUGAGAAUAAGCAGAAAAAGGAUGGAUCACGGGUGUUCUAUGGAAGCAGGGCAUUCUUCUAAUUUUAUUGAGCUGCUGUUGGUGCAUAUGUAUAUAUUUUGUUCUCUAGCUUCGUUGUUGCUGGAUAUGGAGUUUAAUUUAUCGAAACUUUUGGUUUCUCUCGGCUUAUUUUGUGGUAUUU